rnacentral:lncRNA from 1 species
AGCAGUCACUGUGUGCGAAGAGGCUGUGCAGAGAGUCGUGCAGGGACCCACGUUCAGCACGCCACUCCCAAGCCUGCUGCUCUCCCGCUGAGUAAGAGCUUAAGGACGGGUGAUGCCGUGUGUCCAGGUGUGUUGGCCGGUGACGGUCCGCUUGACGGAAGCACCUCCAUUUGCCUGAGUAUCUGGUGUCUGGUCUGCCUCCAGAGCUGCUCUGCCCAGGCCUCCCUAUCAGACUCGGCGUCUACGCACCUCCGCACUCAGCAGGCCUGACCUGAGCCGACGGAGAGAAAGAGCCCCACGAUCGCCCUGUGAAGUCGGUACUGCCGAAGCUGCCUGAUGGCCAAGGAACCGAGGCUCAGCGAGGAGACGUGGCCGUGGUCACGGCGACAGAGCCAGCACGCUAACCUGGGCCUGUUGGGUUCAAUUCCUGUGCCCUCUUCCUGUUGCGCCGCAGAGGGGAGGCCAGGCGCUUAAACGAAGGCCCAGGGUAAGUAAGCAGAAGGCAGCCAGGCCUGGGGCCAGUGCGUGGCGCUGGGUCCCUCUGCUGGGGAAGGAGGACUCCCAAAGCCAGCUGCAGAGAGGACGUGGCUCCAUCCAGCUGUCCAGGGCCUGCAGCUAGAGUUGCAGUCACUGGGGUGGGGCCAUGCGGGGCACCCAAAGGAACAGUAGAGCAGCAGCCGCAAGGGAGGCUGAGGAGGGACCCAGGUCCCAGGGUGCUGAGCAGGGCACAGCCAGGCCACCUGAGGGAGCCAUCCCUUGGCACCUGGGUGACGAGAGCUUAGAAAUGUGCUGUCAUUCGCACGCACCACAUUUUUUGGCUUGUCUUCACUUAGACUAAUCUACGUAUCAAAUUGCAUAGGUAGAAAUUAAAAAGUAGACCUUCCAGGUUUGGGCUGAACGCGUUUCACAAAACACGGGUGGAAAUGAUGACACAUCGCAUCCCUGCUGCCCGCGUUGCCACC